GUUAUAUGGUCAAGUGAAGAAGCGCAUACGGUGGAUGCCUUGGCAGUCAGAGGCGAUGAAAGACGUGGUAGCCUGCGAAAAGCUUCGGGGAGUCGGCAAACAGACUUUGAUCCGGAGAUGUCUGAAUGGGGGAACCCAGCCAUCAUAAGAUGGUUAUCUUGUACUGAAUACAUAGGUGCAAGAGGCGAACCAGGGGAACUGAAACAUCUAAGUACCCUGAGGAAAAGAAAUCAACCGAGAUUCCCUUAGUAGUGGCGAGCGAACGGGGACUAGCCCUUAAGUGGCUUUGAGAUUAGCGGAACGCUCUGGAAAGUGCGGCCAUAGUGGGUGAUAGCCCUGUACGCGAAAAUCUCUUAGUCAUGAAAUCGAGUAGGACGGGGCACGAGAAACCUUGUCUGAAUAUGGGGGGACCAUCCUCCAAGGCUAAAUACUACUGACUGACCGAUAGUGAACUAGUACCGUGAGGGAAAGGCGAAAAGAACCCCGGAGAGGGGAGUGAAAUAGAUCCUGAAACCGUAUGCGUACAAGCAGUGGGAGCCCACUUUGUUGGGUGACUGCGUACCUUUUGUAUAAUGGGUCAGCGACUUAUUUUCAGUGGCGAGCUUAACCGAAUAGGGGAGGCGUAGCGAAAGCGAGUCUUAAUAGGGCGUCUAGUCGCUGGGAAUAGACCCGAAACCGGGCGAUCUAUCCAUGGGCAGGUUGAAGGUUAGGUAACACUGACUGGAGGACCGAACCGACUACCGUUGAAAAGUUAGCGGAUGACCUGUGGAUCGGAGUGAAAGGCUAAUCAAGCUCGGAGAUAGCUGGUUCUCCUCGAAAGCUAUUUAGGUAGCGCCUCAUGUAUCACUGUAGGGGGUAGAGCACUGUUUCGGCUAGGGGGUCAUCCCGACUUACCAAACCGAUGCAAACUCCGAAUACCUACAAGUGCCGAGCAUGGGAGACACACGGCGGGUGCUAACGUCCGUCGUGAAAAGGGAAACAACCCAGACCGUCAGCUAAGGUCCCAAAGUCAUGGUUAAGUGGGAAACGAUGUGGGAAGGCUUAGACAGCUAGGAGGUUGGCUUAGAAGCAGCCACCCUUUAAAGAAAGCGUAAUAGCUCACUAGUCGAGUCGGCCUGCGCGGAAGAUGUAACGGGGCUCAAACCAUGCACCGAAGCUACGGGUAUCACUUAGGUGAUGCGGUAGAGGAGCGUUCUGUAAGCCUGUGAAGGUGAGUUGAGAAGCUUGCUGGAGGUAUCAGAAGUGCGAAUGCUGACAUGAGUAACGACAAUGGGUGUGAAAAACACCCACGCCGAAAGACCAAGGUUUCCUGCGCAACGUUAAUCGACGCAGGGUUAGUCGGUCCCUAAGGCGAGGCUGAAAAGCGUAGUCGAUGGAAAACAGGUUAAUAUUCCUGUACUUCUGGUUAUUGCGAUGGAGGGACGGAGAAGGCUAGGCCAGCUUGGCGUUGGUUGUCCAAGUUUAAGGUGGUAGGCUGNNNNNNNNNNNNNNNNNNNNNNNNNNNNNNNNNNNNNNNNNNNNNNNNNNNNNNNNNNNNNNNNNNNNNNNNNNNNUAACCAGGAACCGUACCCCAAACCGACACAGGUGGUUGGGUAGAGAAUACCAAGGCGCUUGAGAGAACUCGGGUGAAGGAACUAGGCAAAAUGGCACCGUAACUUCGGGAGAAGGUGCGCCGGUGAGGGUGAAGGACUUGCUCCGUAAGCUCAUGCCGGUCGAAGAUACCAGGCCGCUGCGACUGUUUAUUAAAAACACAGCACUCUGCAAACACGAAAGUGGACGUAUAGGGUGUGACGCCUGCCCGGUGCCGGAAGGUUAAUUGAUGGGGUUAGCUAACGCGAAGCUCUUGAUCGAAGCCCCGGUAAACGGCGGCCGUAACUAUAACGGUCCUAAGGUAGCGAAAUUCCUUGUCGGGUAAGUUCCGACCUGCACGAAUGGCGUAACGAUGGCGGCGCUGUCUCCACCCGAGACUCAGUGAAAUUGAAAUCGCUGUGAAGAUGCAGUGUAUCCGCGGCUAGACGGAAAGACCCCGUGAACCUUUACUAUAGCUUUGCACUGGACUUUGAAUUUGCUUGUGUAGGAUAGGUGGGAGGCUUUGAAGCGUGGACGCCAGUUCGCGUGGAGCCAUCCUUGAAAUACCACCCUGGCAACUUUGAGGUUCUAACUCAGGUCCGUUAUCCGGAUCGAGGACAGUGUAUGGUGGGUAGUUUGACUGGGGCGGUCUCCUCCUAAAGAGUAACGGAGGAGUACGAAGGUGCGCUCAGACCGGUCGGAAAUCGGUCGUAGAGUAUAAAGGCAAAAGCGCGCUUGACUGCGAGACAGACACGUCGAGCAGGUACGAAAGUAGGUCUUAGUGAUCCGGUGGUUCUGUAUGGAAGGGCCAUCGCUCAACGGAUAAAAGGUACUCCGGGGAUAACAGGCUGAUACCGCCCAAGAGUUCAUAUCGACGGCGGUGUUUGGCACCUCGAUGUCGGCUCAUCACAUCCUGGGGCUGAAGCCGGUCCCAAGGGUAUGGCUGUUCGCCAUUUAAAGUGGUACGCGAGCUGGGUUUAGAACGUCGUGAGACAGUUCGGUCCCUAUCUGCCGUGGACGUUUGAGAUUUGAGAGGGGCUGCUCCUAGUACGAGAGGACCGGAGUGGACGAACCUCUGGUGUUCCGGUUGUCACGCCAGUGGCAUUGCCGGGUAGCUAUGUUCGGAAAAGAUAACCGCUGAAAGCAUCUAAGCGGGAAACUUGCCUCAAGAUGAGAUCUCACUGGAACCUUGAGUUCCCUGAAGGGCCGUCGAAGACUACGACGUUGAUAGGCAGGGUGUGUAAGCGCUGUGAGGCGUUGAGCUAACCUGUACUAAUUGCCCGUGAGGCUUGACCAUAUAACACCCAAGCA
rnacentral:rRNA from 1 species